rnacentral:misc_RNA from 1 species
AAAAUAUAAUAAGUAGUAUAAAUUAUAGAAUUUAGUAAAUUAUUAAAUUUUUAAACGCAUAUUACGUCCCUUAGUAUUCCGUAGAGUAUAUUUAUUUAAGUAUUAUCUAUAUUCUUAAGCUCUACUUAGUAUUAGGCGUCUAUUCCACCUUCGCGUAUAGACUUACUCUAAAUAUAUUAGUAGUAGUUUUUACCUUCUUCCGUGUAGUAUAUUACGCUUUUUAAGACUAUAACGGCCUAUAUCUGAUAAGCUAAACCCCCCCAUCUUUAAUUUUAGAUUAGGUAGGGAUACCCGCUAAACUUAAAU